CUCGAUCGCUGCAGAGACUCGCCUUGCCGAUCCCGGCGCGACUCGCACGUGUCAACAAAAUCUCAUCCUCUCACCUCGAGACAUGCCUAUAUACAUGCCAACCGCGUAAGAGCUUUCGUAUUUGAAUGAGAAGAAGGAAGGAGAGUCUCAUUGGCAAAAAUAUAUGUCCGGUACAGCAUUUUUCUCUCGCGUCCAACGCGCAUUUUUCUCCCCUGUUCGACACGGCUGUCAGUCGGGCGAUUUCGCCAGUGUCGUAACGGCCGAGUUUAUUAUUACCGAUCGAAGAGCGCAUCUCGGGAUUAUUCGUGAGCGCUUUUCUCGCGAUUCGCGAAUUUCGCAAGCUUCUGGCGACUCGUCCCGACACUUCAGCUCUGCGUAUGUAACUUUUUUUUCUUUAUUUUUUCAUCAGGCAGUUUGCCGUUGCUGCGCCCUCCGCGUUUUCGUCCCUCAGCGUUGUAGAUUUUGUCUUCUGCGUUUUUCAUUGUUUCUGCCGAUGUUGACGAGCGGAUAAACGUGUAGAGAGUGGAAUUAGGUGUAGCGAGAUAAUUUGUAUACAGCGUGUAAGGUGUCGCAAUAUUACUGCAAUUCAUGUAAUUAUAGAUAUAGAGACAUAAUUGCGUAUUCAGGCAAGUCGUCUUCACUUUCGAGGCAGAAAAAUGUCUUGACAUGGAUUUUGGAUAAGAGGCACGUUUUUUGUAGGAAAUGCUGCGGCAUAUUUUUACGUAUCACUGAAGAGAAAGCAGUAACCGUCGCGAAGCUGUAUAAACGUACCUUUAUUCAACACAUCAUAUUAUUUAAUCACCAAUGGAUGAUUCGGUCAUAAAUGAGACCAUCAUUACAAUGAAACUCGACGCCAUCGAGCUAUCCGAGCGGCGACCACAGCGUUCGAGCAGUUCGAACGCGUUAAAAGCUCUGGAGCAAAAGCUCCGCAAGUUCUUUAACGAAGCCGACGGCCAUGGCUCGCUGCACCGCAAACCACCGCCUAACAUGAUCACACCUCAGUACUUCAAGGUCGUCAACACAAUCUCCUGCUACCCGAUUAAGCGUAUGGACUGGAUAGCCCUGGUAAACUCGGCGAAUUUCAAGAGGAAGUUCACCAUCGUCGACGACUCCACCAAGACGCAAAGGCCCAAAGAUAUACUCUGCGGUAAAGACAACGACAAGCCACAUUCCAGCAGUCCCAGCAAGUCGAAAUGAGUAUACUGAGCUAAAGCUGUGCAAACGUCCGUUAUUAUCACACUCAACACUUUUUUUAUGGGCGAUGGGGCCGAAGAAAUUUUUUUUUUUUAUCGAUUUUAUUUUCUCCGAAGUGCCUCAUUCACGCUCGAGCAAAUCCGGGACAGCAUGAUAGUUUCGAUCAGCGAUAUUGCGAUAUGUUGUUUGCUCCUGGGUAUAACUUAUCGACUGUCCUACUAUUUAUAGUAUGCAAAAAACAAAAUAUGCAAAGCAGUAAUGCGAUUUCUUUAUUCUAAUGAUCGCAACGCGUGUAGAGCGCAUAUAGUUGGAUCGACUCUGGUCUUGUUUUCAAAAUUUAUUUAUAUAAACUUUCACUAUUUUUACAUAUAGAUAUAUGUUAAGGUAGACACUCGUAAUAGCUAUUUUGUACAUACACACUGUAAAAACUUUUUACUUUUUUUGUUUUUGUUAGAUUUAAGUAUGAAUAAAUAUUGUUAUAUAGUUGACACAUGCUGACAAGACUGUUGUUCCUGAUAAUCAUCAUCCUUCUCCGGAAAUUUUUCAGAACGAAGAAUAAUUAAUGGUCGAGACUUUUUUUUUAUUUUUUACCAAUCGUGGCGGCAUUUUAAGGUUGGCGGUAACGCAUCGGCAAGUCAGUUUUCUAUAGCCGCACGUUUUCGUAUUCUGACGGAUACCUAACCUAAAAAUCGUGCAUUUGUUUACCGCACACCGCGCACGUGGUUCUAGUGUUGGGUUUGUUGCUUCGCAAAUUGACAAUAUUCGUAAUUGUAAAUAAUGGAGGUGACGAAAAUAAAAAUGGAAGUUGACGACGACACCAAGGAGAACUUGGAUCUGUCCAACUUGAAGGAGGUCAGUUACGAGGACAAAUUAAAAAUCUGUAACGAGAUCGCGAGUCCCAUGGCUCCAAAGAAGUUGACAAAAAAGAUUUAUAAACUCAUUAAAAAAGCGUCAAAACACAAGGGUUACCUUCGAAAUGGAUUAAAAGAUGUUCAAAAACACAUUCGCAAAGGAGAGACGGGAUUAGUUAUAUUUGCUGGUGAUGUUUACCCAAUAGAGAUAAUGUGCCAUUUACCAGUCGUUUGUGAAAACAAAAACAUUCCCUACUGCUACACACCAUCGAGGCAAGAUAUCGGUCAUGCCCUUGGAGUCAAACGAGGCAGUUUAAUGGUUUUAAUUAAAGAACACGCAGAAUACAAAGAUUCAUAUGAUGAACUUAAAGGUGCUAUAGAAACAUUGUCAACUCCAUUGUAAUCUUACCAUGUAAAUAUAUUAUUUUGUUUAAGUUUAAA